UACGUAGGGUGCAAGCGUUAAUCGGAAUUACUGGGCGUAAAGCGUGCGCAGGCGGUUAUGUAAGACAGAUGUGAAAUGCCCGGGCUUAACCUGGGAACUGCAUUUGUGACUGCAUGGCUAGAGUUUGGCAGAGGGGGGUAGAAUUCCACGUGUAGCAGUGAAAUGCGUAGAUAUGUGGAGGAACACCGAUGGCGAAGGCAGCCCCCCUGGGUCAAGACUGACGCUCAUG
rnacentral:rRNA from 1 species